GAUGGGAUUUAGAUCAGUAGAAAUUAGGAGGCCCACAUGGUUGUAUAAACAAAAACAAAGCAGAGAAACAAAACAAUGAAAACGCUGCACUAAUGAGAGGAAUUGCGAACGGCGGUGGUAUGUUGGCCGGAAGGAUGAUGGUGGUGAGACAGAUGGAAGAAUAUGGUGGAUGAUGGGAAGGGGGAUUCGGCGGAGGCAACUUGAAGGUGAUGGUGAUGAUUGGGCUUGGUGAGGAUGAAGACGACGACAUCAUCAGGCUCUGGACUUAACAAAAGCAGCAAUGAAACUACUUUUCUCUCACAGUCUCGACAUCAUAACAACAGAACAACAAAAACUUAAAAUAAUACCCUCUUCAUGAAAUUCUGUUUUUUAUGAGUUCAUAUUUUAAGUUUGAGAUUGUUGUUAUUAUAACUUGGAUAUUAUUGUGGUCUUUUUGCAGAGGCAGGAAUAAUGGUCAAGAAAAGCGAACAAGAAUUCAAAUAUUCAUGCCAUGAGAUUAAUAAAGGAGUGCAAAGAAUUUGAAGAAAUACCCGCUCCGAAUGUUCUCGGAGGUGAAGACCCGUUGAUUUUAAUACCAAAUUGAUGAAGAAAUAUAGCUGUUAGAAUUGUCUUAAAAGUGUAGAAAAAAAAGUCAAGCUAGCAUAGCACAACAUGCUGUUUGGAGAGGACAGAUUGUAAACACAAAAAUGUGGAAGAAGACAAACACAAAGACAAAAAGAUGUUUGGACUUGAAACCAAAAAGAAAAAAAACUCUCUAACAUAUUUUAGAACUAUUUUUUCUCCUACCUUUUCUAAAAAAGUUUGUAUAUAGUAUAUGCUUUAUAUAAAAAAGAAAAAAGUAUGCGUUACCCUUUUUUUUUAAGAAACAAAUCUGUUUAGUUUUAGUUUUUUUUAAUAAUAAUAAUAAUAAAUAAUAAAUCAUAAAAUAAAACAAAGUUUUAAUUUAAUAACAAUAAAAUAAUUUAAUAACUAAAUUGAAUUUAAUAAUUUAUUUUAAAAUAAAUCAAAUAACUUAAAAACAAUAUAAUAAAAUAAAUUAACUUAAUAGUUUUUUUUAGAAACAACAAUGCAAUCAUAGAAUAAAAAUUAAACUUUAAUAUAUUUUUACU